GAAGUAGAUAUAUGUCCCUAAAUACUAGGGAGUGGGGAGUUCUCACUUCCUCACCUUCAUUUUGUCAAAAAUCUUUUCUCAUAUCUGGCUAGCUUUCAUUCUUUUUUCUUCUCGAGACAUUGUGGGCCUAUUGGUGUUUUCCUCUCAUGUAGAAUUAAAAUUAUUAAUAUAGUUGGGUCUUUUUAAACUGUAAAGUAAUCCCUUUUUAAGGGAUUAUCGCAUCUGUCCCUUUGUAGGCAGUUAAGCUGGGAAAGCAGACUAUCACCUCAUUCGCAGAAGAGGAACACCUGGCAUAGAGAAUUGUGCCUGUUUCUAUGCAAGUGGCUGAGGCCUAAAGAAGAUACAAGAGGAUACAAGAUUUGUCCUGAGAAAAAAAACAUAGUUUUCAUGGGGCUGAGCAGCCAUUUCCUGAAAAAGUAACAGCUUCUCUGCUAUCUAUUUUUUUUCUGCCACAUGCUCAUGGUCUGAAGGAAACCACUUUGCCUUGGCCUGAAAUCACUCUCCUCCCUUGAAGCUGAGGAAGUUCUGGUUGCUGUGUUGCCUCAAGCUGCUGUUGAUCCUUUAAACUGAGCAUAUAUGCAUCAGAACAUCUCCAUCCAGAACCAGAGGAUGUGUCGGCAGAAUUGACACUGUUUUCUAGGCAUAUCAAUAUUUGGAGUGCUGAUGUUGGAUAACCAUGUAAUCAUUCAUUUGGAGAAACAUUUACUUUUACAUGAAGAAAUUGAAAUAGGGUUUUUGAUAACAAUUUGGGGGCUUGUCCUGGAUUCCCUGAGACCCCCCCCCCCCCCAAGGUGGCUGCUGCCUGAGGCUGAGUUGAAGAGAAGCGCUCUUGCCAACCUUUCCUCCGGGACUGCACAUGGGAUCUGAGACAUCGGUGUUGGCUGAGUAGAGUGACGGAACAAAUCUGGGAAAGAGGAAGCUGGCCGGGGACCAUGCAAGUUGUUAUAUCAAACAAGGGAAGAGAGGGGUAUGAUCAGAAGGGCAGCUAUGGAAAUGUGGGAGAGGAGACAUCCUUCCUCCUAGGACAUUUUUGCCUGCUGAAGUUAAAUACCUUAAUGUGGAUUCUGGAUGGAAGAAUAGCUGGAAUGAAGGAAGCAGAACCAGAAUCUCAAAAUUUGAAUAAGGCUUUCAACAUCACUCAGAAGAAGAAUGAAACUCCCUCUAAAUUCUUAAGGAGAAUGAAGGAAAAUAUGAGAAAGUAUUCUGUACUGGCUCCCCAAGAACCAGGUUAA
rnacentral:lncRNA from 1 species